AACGAACGCUGACGGCGUGCUUAACACAUGCAAGUCGCACGAGAAAAUUUCGCUUCGGUGGAAUGAGUAAAGUGGCGCACGGGUGAGUAACGCGUGGGUAAUCUGCCUUUAAGUCCGGGAUAACAUUGCGAAAGCGAUGCUAAUACCUGAUAAGCUCACAGUUUUCAAAGACAGUGGGAAAAGAUGGCCUCUGUUUCAUGCUAUCGCUUAAAGAUGAGCCCGCGUACCAUUAGCUAGUUGGUGGGGUAAUGGCCUACCAAGGCGACGAUGGUUAGCUGGCCUGAGAGGGCGGCCAGCCACACUGGAACUGAGACACGGUCCAGACUCCUACGGGUGGCAG
rnacentral:rRNA from 1 species